rnacentral:misc_RNA from 1 species
GAUGAAGAACGUAGCGAAAUGCGAUAAGUAGUGUGAAUUGCAGAAUUCAGUGAAUCAUCGAAUCUUUGAACGCACAUUGCGCCCAUUAGUAUUCUAGUGGGCAUGCCUGUUCGAGCGUCAUUAAGUCCAUUAAGCCUAGUUGCUUAGCGUUGGGAGUAUUACCGUACGGUAACUCCUCAAAGUCAGUGGCAGGGUUACGGUACACUCUAAGCGUAGUAGAUUUCUUUCUCGCUUUUGCUGUGGCCGCGGCCGUUGCCAUAAACCUAUACUUUCUUAGUUGGUUGACCUCGGAUCAGGUAGGAAUACCCGCUGAACUUAAGCAUAUCAAUAAGCGGAGGA